rnacentral:rRNA from 1 species
AUGAACGCUGGCGGCGUGCCUAAUACAUGCAAGUCGAGCGAACGGACGAGAAGCUUGCUUCUCUGAUGUUAGCGGCGGACGGGUGAGUAACACGUGGAUAACCUACCUAUAAGACUGGGAUAACUUCGGGAAACCGGAGCUAAUACCGGAUAAUAUUUUGAACCGCAUGGUUCAAAAGUGAAAGACGGUCUUGCUGUCACUUAUAGAUGGAUCCGCGCUGCAUUAGCUAGUUGGUAAGGUAACGGCUUACCAAGGCAACGAUGCAUAGCCGACCUGAGAGGGUGAUCGGCCACACUGGAACUGAGACACGGUCCAGACUCCUACGGGAGGCAGCAGUAGGGAAUCGUCCGCAAUGGGCGAAAGCCUGACGGAGCAACGCCGCGUGAGUGAUGAAGGUCUUCGGAUCGUAAAACUCUGUUAUUAGGGAAGAACAUAUGUGUAAGUAACUGUGCACAUCUUGACGGUACCUAAUCAGAAAGCCACGGCUAACUACGU